GCACAGCCUGUUCUCCUGACAUUUCCCAGAGGCAGCUGCUUAAAGUUUGCGAUUUAAAUCAUUAAAUGCUUGAUUUAUGGUGCAUGCUUCCAGAGCCUCAGCACUCUUCCAACUCACAUUGCAAUGUAUCCUCCUCCUAAUCAUGUUACUCUUCAAAUAAAUUUGGAUGUCUGUGGGGUUAAAAUAACCCAUCGUCUUCAUUUUCGUACAAAUCGACAAGAUUGUUUUUCUGACAGUCACUGCGGCAGUGCAGAGUGUGACUGGGAACAGCUUUGUUAGCAGGCUGAAGGCAGACUUACAGCUUCAUUGAGGUAUGAAUAUCAUUGGCUGGUGCACUCUUGCUUCUAAAAUGUCUUCCCUUUGGAUAAGAUCUGUAUCUGUGUUGAAAAUAGUUGAUUGCUUGCUGGAACAAGUUGUUUGUUUGUUUUUUGUUCUUAAUUAAACGAGGGAAGUAAUUCAACACCUCCAGUCUUGGAAGACAUGGAGCACGGGGCUAGGAGACAGGGUUUCUUCAAGGAGUUUCUCUAACCUCAGCUCCUGCUCAGAACAACAACUCACCUUUGAUUUGUGUAUAGAAAUUAUGUGUUCUUUUGCAACUAGAAAGAAAUUCAGUGCUUUGAAAUUAAUGAAGACCCACACAGAGCUAUUAAAAGGACCGUUGCAUCAUACAUAAAACUGUUUCAAAAGCAUAAAUUAGAAAGCAAACAGCAGAUGAAAAUAAUAUUUUUUAUUGUUCUUUCUAUCACAGUAGACUGAAUUCUGACCCGUAGGAGGUUGUCACGAUGCAGCUGUGCAUAGCUGAUGUGUCCUUCUGUAGCUCAUAUUGGGGUGGAUUUCUUUUUUCUGGCUACUGACUAAUUCAAAACAAUAAAUCUUUUUUAUUAUUUUUUUUCGUAUCUGUUUUGUUGAGUGUCAUAUUCCCCAAAACCUUCAGAGCGGGAAUACAGUGAAAGAGGAACCAUGAGCACAGCCAUUCAAAUGUUAAAAAGGCACUGCUCAGCCCAAGUGUGCUUGUUGUGUUUGGUGCUGUGACUAUUUCAACACUGCAGCAUUGCUGCUGAGAAUCCUGGUGCAAAGCCUGUUUAAAACUGGAACGCUUCGAAAUUCGCCAAAAGAUUCAGUUGCAUCCCAUUUACAGGAUGAAUAGGAUUCAGUUUCAUCCGAAAGGAGCCUGGGUCAUCCAGACCGCACAGCAGUGAGAACAAAAGCACAGAAAAUGGGAACCAUUGGGAGACUGGCCUCUAAAGCACCUACAACCCUGACUACAUCUGUGAUGGCGACAAGCUCCCAGUGGGUCACAAUAAAUACCCAGUGGCAAUGGAGACAAGUGGGUGGAGUAUAAGAGUGCCUGGAGUUAACAUAAUGAAACUGAAUCCUUUUCUUGAACAAGAAGUGAAAUAAACUUUAAAUCAAAGUCUCCAUUAAGGCCCCUUCUGCAAGAUGCUACUUUCAGUUUCUGAUAAUCAUUAUAAAUGGAGCAGAUUGGAAAAACUCAAAUGGAUCCAAUAUGAAAAGCCUCACUGCCUCCAGUCACUGCAGGGGGAGAGGAAUGCAGCCCCACUUACCUCCAAACUCAUUUUGGUCUUCCUACACCCCGACAGUAAAAUACAUGUGGAAAACCAGAAAUGCUGUGAGGUGAUGACAAUUACCUGAAGAUAUGAAGAUGAGCAGUGAACAGACCAGAGAAGAGAAGUCAGGUGUGGAUGGCCAGGCCACACCAUACUUCUGUACUCAUUAAGAAAAUAAAUAAACUCUUAGUUGGAUACAUUAAAAAAGAGUUGGUGGUUUCCAGCUGCAACUCACUUUAGUUCUUUAAAAUUAUCCUUGCGUUUCUGUUUAAGAAUUUACCUUGAGGAGGGAUGGGAAUCUGCUGCAUGCUACCAUCUGUCUUUCCUUAGAAAUACAGCACAAUAAAAGUGAGAUUGUCUUGUCUCUUUUAUAAGGUUAGUAAGAAAGCUUUGAUUGCUUCUUCUCUUAUUCACUAGAAAUUUAUAGUAAGAUGUUACAUUUUCCUUUUGUCUGUUUGCUGCAACAUCUGAGCUGUGUGUGAAAGACUGUGCCCUGUGGAUGAGAAGGUGCUUCACAGAGAGCAGCUUCAGUGAGCCAACUUAUUCACCAUGGUUCAAAAAUGGAAACUCCCCUCCAUUCUCAGAAUUUUGGUGCUUUUUGUUAUAUUCUGGGAUACUGUUGUGGUUAUAGCUUACUUCUGCCCCUUCUCCUGAAAUGCCCAAAUUUCUGUGAUGUGAGUUUUGUUCUACUUUUAGGAUGCCAAGUGGAAGAUUAUUCUAUUUCACUUUUGAGUCCUUUCCUGUUAUUACCUCAAACAUCGACAACAAAUUUUUCGGCCUUUCCCUUUUCUGAAGCAGUGGUGACAAAGUUCCUCUUUCUUUCCCCUUCUUCUUUUUCUUUUAAAACACAAAGAAACAAAACAUUCUCCAGAUGUUUUGUGAUCUAAUCCCUUAUUAACUUUGGAAAGAUCCUUUCUACCACAGGGAUCAGAUUCAUUAAUCUAUGGCUUCCUGACUCCUCUCCUACAGUAUUUCCAGGAAUGCAGAUACCUAUUUUGGCAUGGAAUCUGUAUUCCAUGAGCACAAACCUUCAAAUAUAUCUAUUUACCACACCUCUGACUGUAUCCGUUUCUCAAUCGGAUAAUUUAAUUUCCAGUCAAAGCAGGCACACAAAUUAGGCAGCCAUUUAAUCAGUGAUUAACCAAAUAAUCUCCUUUUACCAUAAAUUUGUAGUGUCUGGAGACCUUGUAGACUUCUUGGAAAAGGUGGCCUGUCU
ensembl:lncRNA